rnacentral:rRNA from 1 species
GGCAGUGGCGCGGCUAUACAUGCAGUCGAGCGGACAGAUGGGAGCUUGCUCCCUGAUGUUAGCGGCGGACGGGUGAGUAACACGUGGGUAACCUGCCUGUAAGACUGGGAUAACUCCGGGAAACCGGGGCUAAUACCGGAUGGUUGUUUGAACCGCAUGGUUCAAACAUAAAAGGUGGCUUCGGCUACCACUUACAGAUGGACCCGCGGCGCAUUAGCUAGUUGGUGAGGUAACGGCUCACCAAGGCAACGAUGCGUAGCCGACCUGAGAGGGUGAUCGGCCACACUUGGGACUGAGACACGGCCCCAGACUCCUACGGGAGGCAGCAGUAGGGAAUCUUCCGCAAUGGACGAAAGUCUGACGGAGCAACGCCGCGUGAGUGAUGAAGGUUUUCGGAUCGUAAAGCUCUGUUGUUAGGGAAGAACAAGUACCGUUCGAAUAGGGCGGUACCUUGACGGUACCUAACCAGAAAGCCACGGCUAACUACGUGCCAGCAGCCGCGGUAAUACGUAGGUGGCAAGCGUUGUCCGGAAUUAUUGGGCGUAAAGGGCUCGCAGGCGGUUUCUUAAGUCUGAUGUGAAAGCCCCCGGCUCAACCGGGGAGGGUCAUUGGAAACUGGGGAACUUGAGUGCAGAAGAGGAGAGUGGAAUUCCACGUGUAGCGGUGAAAUGCGUAGAGAUGUGGAGGAACACCAGUGGCGAAGGCGACUCUCUGGUCUGUAACUGACGCUGAGGAGCGAAAGCGUGGGGAGCGAACAGGAUUAGAUACCCUGGUAGUCCACGCCGUAAACGAUGAGUGCUAAGUGUUAGGGGGUUUCCGCCCCUUAGUGCUGCAGCUAACGCAUUAAGCACUCCGCCUGGGGAGUACGGUCGCAAGACUGAAACUCAAAGGAAUUGACGGGGGCCCGCACAAGCGGUGGAGCAUGUGGUUUAAUUCGAAGCAACGCGAAGAACCUUACCAGGUCUUGACAUCCUCUGACAAUCCUAGAGAUAGGACGUCCCCUUCGGGGGCAGAGUGACAGGUGGUGCAUGGUUGUCGUCAGCUCGUGUCGUGAGAUGUUGGGUUAAGUCCCGCAACGAGCGCAACCCUUGAUCUUAGUUGCCAGCAUUCAGUUGGGCACUCUAAGGUGACUGCCGGUGACAAACCGGAGGAAAGGUGGGGAUGACGUCAAAUCAUCAUGCCCCUUAUGACCUGGGCUACACACGUGCUACAAUGGACAGAACAAAGGGCAGCGAAACCGCGAGGUUAAGCCAAUCCCACAAAUCUGUUCUCAGUUCGGAUCGCAGUCUGCAACUCGACUGCGUGAAGCUGGAAUCGCUAGUAAUCGCGGAUCAGCAUGCCGCGGUGAAUACGUUCCCGGGCCUUGUACACACCGCCCGUCACACCACGAGAGUUUGUAACACCCGAAGUCGGUGAGGUAACCUUUUAGGAGCCAGCCGCCGAAGUGACAAAGU